CAACCUAACCAAUGGUUCAGUUUCAUUUACUUUUCAAAAACAACCUGUGAAUGGUGUUGUGGUUGUAACCUCGCUCUGAUACCAACUGUGACCCCCCAACUUCCCAGAGGGUCACCCAUCCUAGGACUACUCCCGUCCUAGCACGCUUAACUCUCUUAACCUCUUGGGUCUAGCCACCACCCAAAAUGCUUAAGCCGGGUUAAGAGUUUAGCCCUAUUAUAUCUCAUAUAUAGGACUAUCUGGGGUCUCACAAUGGAUAAGAUAUUUACACUUGUUUACCUGUUGGCAUUCUUGAUUUAGUAUUAUAUAUGCGGAAGGUAUUAUGUGAUUGGAUAUUAUAUAAGUGGUGGAUAUUAUGUGUGAGAAAAAAAAAAUUUAAGAUAUGCGAAUAUUAUUUGUGAUAAAAUAUGAUAUUAUGUGGACGACGGUUAUUAGAAGAUACGACAUGCAUAUAAAAAGUGAAAUUUGAUACGUACUAUUUGAGGGCAAUUUAGAUAAAAAAAAGUGACAGAUAUUUUGUAUUCGUCAGUCAAUUAGAUUUAUUGACUAAGAAUUAAAAUGUUUUAUAAUAAUUAAAAUAAAAUACCCAAUAUUUUAAAUUUGAGAUAACUUUUAUAUAUUCUGCUUUUAAAAAAAUAUGAUUAAAUAUUAUAUAUGUGGAAGGUAUUAUGUGAUUGGAUAUUAUAUAGGUGACGAAUAUUACGUGUGAGAAUGAAAAUAUUUAAAAAAUGCGAAUAUUAUUUGUGAUAAAAUAUGAUAUUAUAUUGGCGGCGGUUAUUAGGAGAUAUGACACACAUAUUAAAAGUAAAAUUUGAUACGUACUAUCUAAGGACAAUUUAGGUAAAAAAAGUGACAGAUACUUAAUUCGUCAGUCAUUGGAUUAGAUCGAAUGACUAAGAAUUAAUACAUUUUAUGAUAAUUUAAAAAUAAAACAAAAAUUAUACGGUUGUGAUUUAUUUUAUUAAAGUUGAAUGAAUGAUAUUAUUAGUAUGUAAUUGGAAUUAUAUUAAUAGGGAUCGGCAUUUUGGGAAAAAGAAAAAAAUUCAAAACUCACGCUUUUAUAAAUAGUAUAGAUAUGUGGUUAAGGGAGGUAUUUAUAUAUUUUUA
rnacentral:lncRNA from 1 species